GAUGAAGAACGCAUCGAAAUGCGAUAAGUAGUGUGAAUUGCAGAAUUCAGUGAAUCAUCGAAUCUUUGAACGCACAUUGCGCCCUUUGGUAUUCCAAAGGGCAUGCCUGUUCGAGCGUCAUUUGUACCCUCAAGCUUUGCUUGGUGUUGGGUGUUUGUCUCGCCUCUGCGCGCAGACUCGCCUCAAAACAAUUGGCAGCCGGCGUAUUGAUUUCGGAGCGCAGUACAUCUCGCGCUUUGCACUCAGAACGACGACGUCCAAAAGUACAUUUUUACACUCUUGACCUCGGAUCAGGUAGGGAUACCCGCUGAACUUAAGCAUAUCAAUAAGCGGAGGA
rnacentral:misc_RNA from 1 species